UGAAUACGUUUUCUCUGUAGUGUUUCUUCAAACUUCUAGUGCUAAUCAUUAAUGUUUGCUCUCCCUGAAUACAGCAAUCAUUAACCAAAAUAUACCAUAGAUUACCAUAGAUAUGAAUUAUCAACAAAGAGAAGAUAUAUAACCAAAGAGUAGAUAUAUAAUUAAAAGAUGAUUAAAAAUAUAGUUGUUUCAAUACAUAUUUCAUAUCAUAAAAGUCAGCUAGCUAAUGUCAUUACAUGGCCCAAAAUACAGAUCCUAGAAAGAACAAGAGACUAACACCUAGAAUUUAGUAAAGCUCAUGACUAGAUGGAUCGGAGUCAUCAGAGAUAGGGUGAGGAGAUGAUGGAUCUCGACCUAGAGCACGUCCUCUACCCCGUCUGCCUCUGCCACGAGUGGAGGUGCUGGCACGAGCAGGUGAGCGAGAUGAACUAGGAGGCUGAG
rnacentral:lncRNA from 1 species